UCAGGUUUUCAUUGCCAAUUUGAGUAAGGAAAACUAUUGCCAAUGUUGGAUCUCACGAUGUGGUUCAGGAAGCUCAUAAAAUGAACAAGAGAAGUCUUCCAUAUGGUCAUACGUAUUAGUGUACUGUUUAAAGUUCUUGCCCUUUUUAGACCGAGCAACUUUUUGCCUUGCCUUCUGAAAAACAACUUUUCUGUCUGAUUACAACAGUCUCUUUAUAUGUGAACAUCCUUCUGUGUUUCACUUUUGUUGCACAAUUUAUACAAAUCACAACUUAUCAUGGUCUCGCAA